rnacentral:rRNA from 1 species
AUUGAACGCUGGCGGCAGGCCUAACACAUGCAAGUCGAGCGGAUGAAGGGAGCUUGCUCCUGGAUUCAGCGGCGGACGGGUGAGUAAUGCCUAGGAAUCUGCCUGGUAGUGGGGGAUAACGUCCGGAAACGGGCGCUAAUACCGCAUACGUCCUGAGGGAGAAAGUGGGGGAUCUUCGGACCUCACGCUAUCAGAUGAGCCUAGGUCGGAUUAGCUAGUUGGUGGGGUAAAGGCCUACCAAGGCGACGAUCCGUAACUGGUCUGAGAGGAUGAUCAGUCAAACUGGAACUGAGACACGGUCCAGACUCCUACGGGAGGAAGCAGUGGGGAAUAUUGGACAAUAGGCGAAAGCCUGAUCCAGCCAUGCCGCGUGUGUGAAGAAGGUCUUCGGAUUGUAAAGCACUUUAAGUUGGGAGGAAGGGCAGUAAGUUAAUACCUUGCUGUUUUGACGUUACCAACAGAAUAAGCACCGGCUAACUUCGUG